GGUGAAGGCUGGCGAUGGUAGAGAUGAUCGAUGCGCUGUGGUGGUGGAGAUGGGUGACGGGUGGUGGUGGUGGUGGAGUCUAAUCUCAAGUGGCGGUGGCCUUAGUGGGUGGUGGUUUGAUGGGCGGUCGAAGUAGUGGUGGGGGUGGGUUAUGGCCUUAUGGGUGGUGGGUGGUGUUGGCUCAAGCGUCAAACAACUCCCAUGGAGUGGUGGAGCUGGCAGGGGCGGAGGAGGAUUUCAAAGAGGCAGAGAUCGGUGGGGUGGUGUUGGUGAUGGAGGGUUUUAGAGAAGCGGAGAGUGGUGGGUUAGUGUGCAUUUUGGGAAUUGGGUGGUGGGUUUGAAUGGAACUAAAAUGCCAGAAAAUUACUUUUUUAGUACAUGCAGACAAGCGCCUUUUCCUUCCGAUGACCACCUCGCACCCUUUUCGCUCGCUGGCUGGAAUACUGCUGCCUUGCCUUGGGGUCCAGCUACACUACCCAAGUGGACCGUGCCGUUACUAAGGUCCGUUUACCUGUCUCAUUCUUCUUUAUACUUUUAUCCCAUCUCAUUAUUCAUUAAUAUUCAUUUAUUUGUCUCUUGAUGUGAUUUGCUUAUACCUUGAUUCAUUUGUUUAUAGCCCACUCCAUAUGUUUAUAAUUUUAUUCUAUAACCCAAAUUUUAACGUGACUCAAAUUCAUAGCUUAUGUAAAUUUAACUAAAUUUUAGGAUAUUAGGUUACAACAACAUAAAUUUGAAUCAAACAUAAAUAUUUGAUGUGCAUAAAUGGAAGUGAAAAGUGGAUCCUUUGUGUGUUUCCUUCUUAAGAUGUUGAUAUUCAAGAGAGUAGUGCUAUGAGAGCAACCACCCAAUUCCACAUCCUAGAACCUGUAAAACUCUAAAGACUAAUAUAAAAGAAAGGGAGAGAAAGACACCUUCAUAUAAAUACUAUUAACCACUCCGAAUCUAUUGAUACAUUGAGAGAUGAAGGGUGAAUUCUAGUUAUAGAACCAAUGGGAUAAGUGAUUAUACUUUGAUAAGUCUAAUUACCUUAUUAUCACAUGAGAUAAUUAUUAGAAAUGUAAAUUUUUCAUAACUAUCUCAUCCCUUAUGAGACUCUCAUCAAGUCUAUGUUGACAUCUUAGAUCUAUGUAUAAAGGAAACAAUUCCAAUUUUAAAAAUUGAUUAUUCAGAGUUAAAAUGCUAACUUUUAGAUUUUGAUGUUCCCAAUUAAGUUCCAAGUAUUGAAGAUGACCUUGAAGACCUAGAGAUCUUUUGUCUAAUAUUUCUUCCUUGGAUCUUGACAAUUGAGAAGGGUGAACUUCUCUCUAAAAUGAUGGAGGGUAGGCUUCCUCUCUUUAGAAGAGUAAAUGACAAAAACAACAAGCCCUAAACCCUUAAAGGGGUUUAUAUAAGCUUAGUUGUGGGCUUAAGUGACUUGAACCCAUCUUUGAUUUAAGUCACUUAAUCUAACUCAUUGGGUUCUAAUUAAUUAAUUAACUUCAUUAAACUCAAAUGAAUUAAUUGGUCCAAUAUAAAAAAACCAUUCAUAAGCUCUUAUGCAAUCUUUCAUAUUUACCAAAAUACUUAUAUGAAUAAAGAACCCAACUAUCCCUCAAAUAAUGUGCCACCAAGAAAUAUAAGCUCAAAUGGAAACCAUUGGGACUCAUAAGAAAACAUUGGUUCCCUCAAAAAUUUAUUUUGAAGUUAAAUCAAUAUUCUACUAUACAGAGUCAAUUGCACUUCAAUAUCCUAUAAUAUUAGAUUGAGAUAGAAAACUUGAGUUUGUGACCUACUAAUGAUUGCAUGCAAGUUUCCUAUGAACUAGUAUUUGUAAUCUAACAAGGUGAAUGCCAUCAACCUCUCAAGAUUACUACUACAAUCUUUGAGUCUUAGAUUCUCCUAUGAUGUGAUCAAUUGACAUACUUUAUUUCUCUAAGAGCAUAUCUACGCCAAAUUCUACUAAAAGAAUCACUACGACCAUAGAUUUCAUAAUCACAUAUCCUUAUAAUCACUUAAGGGGAGACACUAUCUCAAACUCAUGAGAUAUCAUAGUACCUAUCUUGAGAAUACCUGUUGCUAUAUACCCUGAUUAAUAGUGACCCAAUCCUUAGGGAAUAUAUAAUCACUUUAGGAUCUCACUUAUAGGUCAAAGCCAUUGAAAACCUGAGCACUAACUCAAUAUUCACUCAAGUUUGAGAGCUCAUGAAACAUAGUAAGUUGGUAAAGUCAUGACUACUCAAUAAGCCAAUGUCAUGAUGCAAACUUCCCAUGAACUGGUGUCUAUAAUAUAAUAAGGUAAUGUUAUCACCUUUCAAGAUUACCUCUCCAAUCCUUAAUUUACAUAUGCCACUUAUUAUAUGAUCAAUUAACAUACCCUAGCUCUAAGGAGCAUAUGUCAAGUUUCCAUUAAAGCAAAGGCUAUAGCCAUAGUCUUCUAAAUCGCAUGUCCUUUGGAUCACCCAAGGAGACACAUUGUCUCAAUCACAUAAGAUAGGUGCCUUUAUUGAGAAUACCUAUCAUCACCAGCCUCCAUCAAUAGUGACCCAAUCUUUAAGGAUAUGUGACCACCUUAGGGUCUCACCCAUAAGUCAAAGUCUCUUGUUUUUUAAUUUGACAUAAGCUUAAUAUCUUCUCAAGGUUGAGAGUUUAUGCAAUAUAGUAGCCUAGUGAAUCAUGACAAUCGAUAGCCUUACGUCAUGAUUCACCGAAGGUCUUAUUCAGUAUACAUCACAUAUGCUAGUGCACUCACCACGAGAAAACCAUCCCGACGCCCAAGAUAAGCUAUCUCUCUAAUUAGAAAGUAGUGCACUACAGUCUUUACUACAUUGCAUAAAUCCAUGAAUGACUAUGGACAACUUAUCUUCUUACAAGGAACCUAUGACUUAUAUCCUAUGUAUAACUCAUAAUGCCCCUAAGUGAUGUAUAAUGUAAGCAAUAAGGGCAUGCAUACUUAGACAACCAAUUAAUGCAAAUAGGAUAAUAAAUGGGAAACUAAGAAAUAUAGAAAAAAAAUAAUUGAUAAUUGAAUCUUAAUCUGUUACAUCAUGUUAUGCCUUCAAAUGUUUAAUCCCAACAAAUUCCCAUUAGCCCUAAAACAUGCUUAGAACAUAUUUGACACCUAAGUUAUCCCUAUAACCAUUAAAGACACUAGAAGACAAAGUCUUCAUGAUGAGAUCUACCAAGUUCUCCACAAAAUCGAUAUUUUCCACAACCAUAGCUCAUCUAAAUACUAUCUCACGUAUCAAGUGAUACUUCCUCUCAAUGUGUUUACCCUUCUGAUGGUUUCUUUGUUUUUUAGACUAUGCCACUGCCUUAUGGUUGUCACAAAAAUGUACCAAGGGUGAUACAUCCAAGGGUACUACCUCAAGUUCCAUCAGGAACUUCCAAAGUCAAAUGACUUCCUUUGCUACUUCAGAAGCAACACCAUAUUCAACUUUUGUAGUUGAGUUAACAAUAUAGAAUUGCUUCACACUCCUCCAACUAAUAGCCUCACCACCUAGAGUAAAUGCAAAUUCAAAGAUAGAUUUGUAAGAGUCUCUAUCAGACUAAAAGUCUUAAUCCAUGUACCCAAGGGGUAACAACUCAUUACAAUGAUACAUCAACAUAUAAUAUCUCAUUCUCUGAAGACACUUGAGUGUAUGCUUGACAAUCAUUCAAUGUUCCAUGCUUAUAUUGGACUAAUAUUUACUCACAAUCCCUAUAGUAAAGCAAAUAUCCAAUCUAGUGCAUAACAUCAUAUACAUAAGGCUACCCACUAUUGCAGCAUAGAGUACUACCUUUAUACGAUCUUUUUCCUUAACUGUCUUAGGACACUAAUACUGAGAAGAGACACUCCAUGCUUGAAGGGUAGUAGACUCUUCUUAGAGUUCUGCAUCACAUAGUUGACUAAAAGCUUGUUAAUGUAGGUAGCUUAUGUCAACACAAUCUUCCUAUUCUUGUGAUCCUGAAGGACUUUAAUCCCAAAAAUGCAUUGCGUCUUACCCCAAUUUUUCAUUUGGAACUGAGUAGAUAGCCAGAUCAUGACUAAUGACAAUAACCCUACAUCAUUCCCAAUGAGUAGAAUGCCAUUAAUGUAUAAGACCAAAAACACAACCAUGCUUCUUUGCGUUUUCUUGUAUACACAAGGCUCAUCCUUGUUUUGGUCAAAACCAAGAGUCUUGAUAACUUGAUCAAAACCUCUAUUCUAUGAGCGAAAUGCUUGCUUUAAUCCAUAAAUGAAUUUAAGCAACUUGCACACAAGUUGCUCUCAAUGAUGAAAAUAUCGGUAAUCACGGAUAUAUCAAUACUUGAAUUUUACGAAUAUAUGGGAGAUAUGUUGACGAAUAUUUUGACAUAAAAUAUUGGUGGACAAAAAAUUAAUCAAAACUCAUGGAAAUGUAAGAAAAUACUCUUAAAAAUGAAAUUAGAAGUAUAACAGAUAUUUUAAAAUUGUUUUGUUGACGAAAUUGAUAUGUGUAUGAUAUGAUUUGUGAUAUUAAAUUUAAUUAUAUCAUAUCGGUUGAUAAGAAAUAUGAAUUUUGUAAGUGUACACUCAUUAUAAAGCUAAAUUAUUACAAAUGUACUAAUUAUGUGAUUCAAAUGUAUUACUAAUGCUAAGUUAAUUUCCUUACAUCUAUUGAAAAUAUAUUAAUUAAUUAUAAAAAUGUAAUAAUUUAAAUUCAAUUUAAAAAUGUACUAAGUUCAUUUAUUCUCAAUAGGCUAUUAUUACACUUGAAUAUCAAAAUAAAAUUAAAUCAUUAAUUUAAAACUAAAUUAUUGCAAAUGUACUAAUUAUGUGAUUCAAAUGUAUUUAUGAUUUUUAUUUAAAAAUAUUGGUACAUUUUGAAACAAAAUAUUUUUAUUUAAAAAUAUUGAUAAUUUUAUUUAUGAUUUUAUAUUUGUCCUAUAUUUAAUUAGUAUACAAAAUAGAUUAUAAGAUAAUUAAAAUUAAAUUAUUUAUAAUAAUUUUAUUUUAAUUAAUUUAUAAAAUAUAUUAUAAUAUAUAAAAAUAUACGUAUAAUAAUCAUAUAUAUAAACAAUUCUAAGCACAUAUAUACUAAAAAAUAAGUUUGGCUUAAUGACAUAACCCAUCUAUUUUAAACCUUAUCUUAUAUGUGAUUUUUUCAUUUUGUGUAAAUAAGAGCAUAAGAUGUUGCCUUAUACAACAGUUGGCCACAAUAGACAGGUAGGUUAGGCCUAAGUCUGCAUUUGGCCAAUACUAAAGUUAAAAAUUUACAUAUAUUAAGUCGUUAGAUCUCAUCCAUCUUUUGGCCCAUUAGAGAAUAUUAAAAAGUCAUCAUAUACAGACUAGUUGGGUUGAUCCAACAUUAACCCAUUGGAUAAAAUUAAAAAGUUUGGGCAUUAGACAUCACCAUUUUUUCAUUGAUAUAUCUCUGAUAUAUCAUAAAAAAUUUAUACAAUUUUUUUCCAUUCAAGGGUGAUUUUUUUUCUUAUAUCAUCGAUAUAUUAGAAAGCAUUGGUAUAUCAUUGAUAUAUAGUCGAUAUUUUUUUAUAUUUCCAUUAGUCGAUAUAUCUUACAUAUAUAUCAUAUUCAUAUUCUUCAAUACACAAUAUAUCAGUGAUACAUCGUCGAUAUAUCGCCAAUAUAUCUAUAUAUUUUUUGUCCUUGGUUGCUCUUGGCCUUUUGCUAUGAAUUCGUCUAGUUGCAUCAUAUAGAUGUAGACCCUCCUUUUUUUCCCCUCGGCACAUGUCCUAUUGAGUGCUUUUUUAGUGCUCCAUAAUAGUUCCCUGGUGGUACAUUGCUAAUGUCCUUUUUUAGUGGUUUUUUUGAGCCACCUUGGAGACUAUGGUUGAGAGAUUUAUCUGGCCCCUUAUUAUGACCCUUGGCAACUCUGAGUUAGAUCUAGAAUUUUCCUUUUUUCUUUUUAGGAUAGUUCAUUUAGGUAUACUUCUAGGCACAUUUGGCCCAUUUAGACAUAUGUUAGCCCAUGUAAACACAUUUGGCCCAUUUAGACACACCUCGACCCAUCUAGGGACAUAUGGCCUAUUUAGACACACUUGGCCCAUAUGAGAGUUCGGGUGGGUUUAUGUAACGAUGUUUUGUCACAAAAUUGCCAAAAUAAGAUAUUAUUGGGACAGUAAGUCUUAUAUAGUUGUUAGCAAUUUUGUUCCUUCUUAUAUUUGAUCAUAUAAGUCUUUUUAGAUAGUGGCUUGCUUUCCGUUGAAGAUCAAAGGUUGUUGUUCAUCCAAUUGGGAAGUCACAAUUACGUCUAAAGAGGUUUGGCUUGUGGAAAAUUGGGCUAUGUUGAGGUAUUAAAAGGACAAUUUUUGUUUUGAACUUAAAAUGAUUUAAAUUUGGUUUUUAAAAAAUAGCAGGACCACUUAAUCAUCCUAAAGCUCUCAAGAGCUUAGGAUCACUUAAGCAAGCCAUGUCGCUCAAGCACCCGAUGUGCUCAAGCAAUCCAUGAGUUGGCUCAAGUGAUCAUGCAAUUUCUACCAAGUUUUUCACAAUCUCAAUUGAGAAACCUUCCAAAACCAAAACUCUUUAGGUUUUUGCUUAUAAAUACCUCCCUAAUUACCCUUAGAGGGUCAGAGAUCUUAAUGUGAUUGGAGAUAGAUUGUUGAGAGACCUUUCCUUCUUUAUAGAAGGUCUCCUAGAGAGAAAACCAAAAGUGUCACACCAUUCUUGAUCUCUCAUUCAAGGAUUAUUCUUUGAAUCUUAGGUUGAAGACCAUCGCCCCUUUAGAGUGGCUGAAGGAUUUACUUGAGAGCAACAAGAGGUUGUUAUUAUUGGGAUUGAACCCUUAAAAGCAAGACAUGAUGUAACAAAGUUAGACUAAACUAUCCCCCUACUAUCAUUUUGGUGUAUUGACAUUGAUUUGAGCAUCCAGUCCAUGUCUUUUACAUUGUACAUGACUUGGGUGCAUUAGGAGUUACACAAAUGAUACAAGUCAUGAGUUCCUUAUAAUUGAUAAGUUGUCAACAGUUAGUUCAUGGAUUUGGGCAAUCCAGUAGAGAUUGUAGUGCACCACCUCCUAAUUGGAGGGAUGACUUGUCUUGGUCGUCGAGAUGGGUUUCCCAUGGUGGGUGCACUAGUGUAUGUGAUGCACACUGGACAAGAGCUAUGGUGAAUCAUGCCACAAGGCUAUCAAUUGUCAUGAUUCACCAAGCUACUAUAUUGCAUGGACUCUCAACCUUGAGAGAAUAUUGAACGUGUGUCAAAAUCAAUAGAAGACUUUAACCUUUGGGUGAGACCUUAAAGUGGUCAUAUAUUCUUAUGAAUUGGGUCACUAUUCAUGGAGACUAGUGACAAUAGAUAUUCUCAAUAUAGGUACCAUGAUAUCUCAUAGGAUUGAGAUAGUGUGUCCCUUUGGGUGAUCCAAAGGACAUGUGAUCAUGAAAUUUGUGGCCACAGUAAUUCCUUUAAUGGAACUUGACAUAGGUGAGAUCUAUAACUCAAUGAUUUGGGAGGUAAUUUUGAUAGGUGAUAGUACUACCUUGUUAGAUUACAGACACCAAUUCAUAGGGGGUUUACAUGCAGUGGAUAGUAGGUCACGAACUAAACUACUUAGUGUCUCGUUGUUAUUUAUAUAAGAUACUGGAGUUCUAUUGAUUCUUUGUAGUGAGAUGUUGAAUCAACUUCAAAAUUGGAUUAUGAGGAAGCCAAUACUCCAAUGGGUCCCAAUGAUCUCCACUCUAAGCUCAUAUACCUUGUUAGCAUGAAUUAUGAGGGUUGGAUUAGCUCUACGUUUACUUUUGUGCAUAAGGGCAUUUUGAUAAUUAUGCAAGGUUGCAUAGGGGUAAGUGAACAAAGUCUUUAGAUUGGGCUAAUUGAUUAAUUAGUAUACCAUAUUAUAUUAAUUAAUCAAUUAUGACCCAUUUUAAGGUAGAUUAAGUGACCUAAGCCCAUAUGGGCUCAAGUCACUUAAGCUCAGUUAGGGUUUUUUUAACUUUUGUCUUCUGCCAUCUAGAGAGAAAGAGAAUCAUAACGUCCACCUUUUUUUCCUUCCCAUCGGAAGUGUGCUAAGAACAAGAUUGAGUCAUUAGGCGGAAGAUUGUAGGUUUACGAGACUUCCAACAACUUCAAGGUUGUCUUCAACACUUGGAAUUUAAGGUUUGGGAACAUCCAAACCUAAAGGUUACUACUUUAACCAUAAAAGAUCAUUUUUUUUAAAAAUGGUGUUGUUUCCAUUGCUUAGAUCUAAUAUGCUAACAGUUGCAUUGCGAACGUGAAUCAAGUUGUAGGUAUUGGAGAGUAAGUCUUUAAAUAAAAACAACGCUAGGGUAAAUCUAUGUAACUUGAUUUCGAAUAGUGGAUUUAGAUUAGUACGUCUUAGACCUCAUGGUUUUUUAUCUCCAUGGUUAGUGUGGGGGUUUUCCAUGUAAAAAAUCUUGUGCCUCAUUGUCUAUAUCUUUUAUGUUUGAUAUUAUGUUUGAAUUGCCUAUAAUUAAUUGAACAAAUUAUCUCUAACAUCUCGUAGGGUAAAAGAAUUGGUUAUAACAUAUAAAUUUUUAUUGAAAUUUUUAAAUCACCCAUUAACCACCCCUCCCCAUCCCCAUCCCCUUCCAAGUGUUCUUUAUUGGACUUUCGCUUUUUCAGGAAUCGAGGUCAAAAGAUUUUGUAGGUUAUCUAAAAGGAACAAGGGGUUACCAGUUUUAUAAUCAGAUGUAAAAGGUGUUUAUCAAUACAAAUGUCAUAUUUGUGAAAGAUAACUAUAUGAUAAGUAAUAAGGUUAGGGGUAAUAUCGAUUGAAACAUACUAAUUGACACUCUCAUCAUAGCAUAUGAUACUAUGGGUCCAAUACUAACCAUUCUUAACUAUUCUAGUACAUAAAUGCCUCGUUGUAAUGGGAAGAUUGUGUAACUAAACUGGUUCAUGUAUUUGGAAGAGUUUUUUUUUUUUUUUUAAAAAAAAAAAAAAGACAAUUCCAUAGGAAAAUAAGAUCAAUCUCAUGUAUUUCGAUGAAGCAAUGAGCAAUGUCAAUGCACAUCUUCAACAAGAAGUUAUAGAGGUAGAGUUAGAAUCUAUGCAUUCCAACAAAGUUUGGGAGCUUGUAGAAGUACCUAAAAGGAUCAAAUCCAUAGGGUGCAAGUGAGUAUAGAAGAGGAAGAGUGGAACAAAUAGAAAGGUUGAGACAUAGAAGGCUAGGUUGUAGUGAAGGGUUAUAGUAAAAAACUUGGCUUUGACUAUGAGGAGACCUUACCCAUAGCUAUGCUCCUAUCCAUUAUGAUACAUCUCGAUUAUGAGAUAUGGUAAAUGGAUAUCAAGAUAAUAUUCUUGAAUGCCAAUUUUGACGAGAGCAUCCACAUGAUGUAAUUGGAUGGUUUCAUAAUAAAAGGCUAAUAACAUUUGGUAUGAAAAUUGCAUAAAUCCAUUUAUAGAUUAAAGCAAGUAUCUCGCUCAUGGAAUAGAUGUUUUGAUCAUGUAGUCAAGAUCUUUGAAUUUAAUUAAAAUCGAGGAUGAACAUUGUGUACAAGAAAGAGUAGCGAAACAUGGUGGUCUUCAUGGUCUUAUAUGUUGAUGACAUUCUAUUGACUGUGAAUGAUGUAAAGUUAUUGUUAUUAGUCAAGAUAUGAUUUUCUACUCAAUUCCAAAUGAAAGAUUUGGGAGAAAUGCAAUAUAUUCUUGGGAUUAAGGUCUUAAGGGACCACAAGAAUAGGAAAAUUGUACUAUUUCAAGCUACCUACGUUGACUAGCUUUUGGUUAAGCAUGUGAUUUAGGAUUCUAAGAAGGGUUUCCUAUCCUUCCAACAUGGAGUUCCUCUUUCUUAAGAUUAGGCACAUGAGAAGAAAGAGCGCAUGCAAUUAGUACCUUAUGUAUUAGUAGUGGGUAGCCUCAUUAUGCGAUGUUAUAUACUAGACUGGACAUUUUCUUUGUGGUAGGUAUGGUGAGUAGAUAUUGAUCUAGUUUAGGCUUAGAAAAUUGGAUGGUUGUCAAGAAUAUACUCAAGUAUCUUAGGAAAACUAGAUAUUAUAUGCAUGGGUUCCAAAGUGACGAGUUAGUAUCCAUUAGGUACACAAAUUCAGACUUUCAAACUAAUAAGGAUUCUCAUUAGUCUACCUCUGGUUUUAUAUUUACUUUAGGUGGUGUGACUAUUAGUUAGAGGAGUGUGAAACAAUCUUGCAUUAUUGACUCUACUAUGGAAGUUGAGUACGUUGCAACUUCUAAAGUAGCAAAGGAAGUCGUUUGACUUAUGAAGCUCCUCAUAGGACUUAAGGUAGUAUACUUGGUUUUAUCGCCCAUAACAUUGUUUUAUGACAAUAGUGGAAUAGUGGCAUAGUCUAAAGAACUAAGAAAACAUCAAAAGGGUGAACAUAAUGUGGGAAAGUACCAUUUGAUUCAUGAGAUAGUGUAUUGGAGUGAUAUACUACCUUCUGUAGUGAACUUGAUAAAUCCCUUCACUAAGACUUUGUCAAGCAAAACAUUUGAUGGCCAUAGGAAUAACAUAGGUGUCAAAUGUGUUUCUAGCAUGCUUUGAUGGUGAUAUGCUUUGAGGGCUGGUGGGAGAUUGUUAGGAUAUAACUCUAAAAGCAUGAUAUGAUAUAGCAUUUUAUGGAUUUAUUAUUUAUUUAGUAAAGAUUUUGGUUUUCCUUUCUAUUUAUUUGUUUCAUGAAUUAUACCUUAUUAGCAUUUUGGCCUAGAAUUUUUUAUAUUGUACAUGACUUUAGUGCAUCAAGAGUUGCAUGAAAGAACCAAGUUAUGAUUUCCUUGCAAGUAGAUGAUUAGUUCAUAGUUGGUUCAAAUGGACUUAGGUAAUCCAUUUGAAGUUAUAGUCCAUUACCUCCUUAUUAGAAGGAUAACUGGUCUUGGUCAUCGGGAUAGGUUUCCUAUGGUGAGUAUACUAAUGUGUAUAUAAUCACACAUUAGACAAGACCUACUGUGAGUCAUGACAUUUGGCUAUUUGGUAGUCAUGACAUCACCAAGUUAUUAUACUAUAUGAUUUGUCAACCUUGAGAGAAUACUGAGUUUAUGCUAAAGUUUACAAUGGUUUUGACCUAUGACUAAGACCUUGAGGUGGCCAUAUAUUCUUUAUAAAUUGAGUCACUAUUAAUAGAGGUCAAUAGCAACAAGUCUUCUUAAUAGAGGCACCAUGAUAUCUCAUAGAGAUUGAGAAAAUGUGUCCCCUAGGGUGAUCCUAAGAAAGUGUGUUUAAGUAAUAUAUGGUCAUAGUGGUUCCUUAACUGGAACUUGGCAUUUGCUCUUUUUGAGAUAAAGUAUGUCAAUUGAUCACAUAAUAAGAGAAUUUGAGACUUAAGGAUUAUAUAAAUAAUCUUGAAAGGUUGAUAACAUUCAUUUUUAUUGGAUUACAAACAUUAGUUCAUAAGGAGUCUGCAUACAAUAAAUAGUAGGUCACAGAGUCGAGCACUUGUGUCUUGUUGUAAUAUACAUGGGAUACUAGAUUAUAGUUGACUUUCUAUAGUGAGAUGUUGAGUUAACUUCAAAAUUAGGUUAUGACAGAGCCAAGAUUUUCCUAUGGGUCCCAAUAGUCCCCACUUGAGCUUAUACUUUUUGAUAGUAUGGUUUGUGAGGGUUGUUUGACUCUUUAUUCACUUGUGUGUAUAAGGGUGUUUUGCUAAAUACGUAAGGUUACAUAGGAGCUUGUGAAUGGUCUCUCUAAGCUGGGUUAAUUGACUAAUUUGAGUUUAAUUAGGUUUAUUAAUCAAUUUGGACCCAGGUAAGCUAAUUUAAGUGACCCCAGCUCAAAGAUGGGCUUAAGUCACUUAAGCCCACUAGAAGCUUAUAAAUAUCCUCCUUAAGGGUUAGGGCUUUAGUCUUGCUUCCUAUUUACCUUAGAGAAAGAGAACUCUAAUCACCACCCUUAUGAGAUUUCCACCAUCUUUGUGCUUAGAUUUGAGGAAGAGUCACCACGGUAGAAGAUCAUUUGGUCUAUGAGAUCUACACCAUCUACAAUGUCUUUGAGAAACUCUUCACCUAACAUGAUCUAAUAUGGGAACAUCCAGGUUUAAUGUAUGACAUUAAACACUAGAUCCUAAAAGCUUUUUAUUUCUCUAUUGCUUUUGUUGUUAGAAUCUAGAGGCCUGGGAAGAACAUAAUGCACCCUAAUUGGUCCAGGGACAAGAAUUGAGUAAUCCAAGAUUUCCCUAUAUAACCUAUAUCAUUCUCAAUGAGUAGAUUAUCAUCUUCAUUUAAGAUCUAAAACACCACCAUGUUUUGUUAUGUUUUCUUGUACACAUAAUAUUUAUCCUAGUUUUGAUCAAAAUCAAGAGUCUUGAUUACUUGAUCAAAAUCAAGAGUCUUGAUUACUUGAUCAAAACACUUGUCCUGCGAACAAGAUGUUAGCAUUAUUCCAAAUCAUGUAACUUGAAUACUAGAUGGUUUUGACCCUUUGCUAUGAAAAUGCCUGAUUGCACCAUAUAGAUGUUGUCAUCAAGAUAACCAUGCUCAAAUCCAUCAAAGUACUUUUGUCCAUUCAUCUUGAUUGUGAGAAAUGGUAAAUGGAUAUCAAGAACAUUAGUCUUGGAGCUGACAACCCCAAGACGCUAAAAAAAUGAUCCUCCUUGCCCUAUAUGUGUUAGAUCAGAGGAGGGAAAUCCUCCAGAGCAUCGAUUGUUUCCAAGUUGAGGAAUGGUUUCCUAAAGCUUAAACCAUGUUGUGAAGAAGGGGUGUCAAGGACGUGGAGCUGUGCUCAGGCAAGAGAUUAUGUUGAAGGGGCUUCGAAUGCACCCCGUCGGAACGCUAUGUUGUUACUUAACCGGAAUCGCAUUAAGAAGAACCUUUCUUUGGAGGGAAAUUCAAGCGGGAAGUUGAAGAAAAGCGGGUCAAAUUCUUCGCAGCUCAUGAGUGAAUGAUCAAUUAAGCAGGGAGCAAGACAAAGAAGGCCCCGGUAUCAAGAGAUUAUGAUUCUGGAUCACAUACAGGACAUGAAAACCUUGCAAGGUAGGGGUUGAUUGAUCAUUUUCUUGUACUUAUGUUAUCAAUUCAAAAUCUCAAGUGAGUUGGAGAUUUUAUGGGAUAGGUAGUGUGAGGUCUGCGUUGCUGUAUACACUUGAAUCUUGUGAGAAUUGUGGGUUGAAAUUAAGGUUGGAAUGAGACAAGC
rnacentral:lncRNA from 1 species